AGGGAGAGGCAAAGAAGAAGAAAUGGAGCAAGGAAAAAAAGCGGUGAGGAAAGAGGCGGCGGAGGAGAUAUCGGAGAGGCUGUCUUCUCUGGAAAACCUCUACUUCCCUCGCGCCGUCGCCUCCUCCACCUCCUCCGCCUCCCACCGCAAGCCCCUCCUCCUCCACCUCCUCCUCCGCGACCCCGCCGUCUUCCUCGAGCGCUAUGGGUCUCAGCUGACUGUUGACGAAUUGCGCGAGUUCGAUGCUUUGAACGAUGACUAUGAGGUCGACUGGCACUUGAACAACCUUCGGAAGAAGAUGAAUCCCACUUCUCAAGAGUUGAAAUCGAGGUCGGUGGCCGUGAGGAACAGAAGAUUGGCCUACUUAAAUAAGCUCGUGGCUGAGGGCCACUACUUCUCCGAGGAUGCUAUGCGGGAGAGAGAGCCGUAUUUGCACCACGAGUAUGUCGGCAAGUUUCAAGAUUUGACUGGAAGGAGCAUGGCUAGGCCCGGGGAACGCUGGUCUGAGACAUUGAUGAGAAGGUCAGAAGAAGCGAGGUUAGUUGCUAGGAUUAGGGAGGAGCAGCAGAGGUUAGGUGUAUCGGAGAGGGAUUGGAUUGGUAAUGAGAUGGUGCAGGAGGAGGAAGAGGAAGAAGAGGAGGAAUCGGAGGAAGGAGAAGAAGAUGAAGAAGCAAACAAGCAUGCUGGAGCAAGUUCGCGGCUUGAGGAGGUGGCUAAGAAUGGUACUGAUAACAACGAAGAGUCAAUCAGUAGAGAUGAGGAGGGAGCUGUAUCACCCGAGGAGAUGCAGGAAAUGAUGGAACAGUUCACAUACAUUAUGCAACAGAAGUUUCUGUCGGGAGAAGAUCAUCAGCACUUGGAUUAUUCAAAGAUAGACAACGAUGAGACACUUGAUGACCACUGGCUUCGUGAGGUCAGCCUUGACGCCGAAGACAAGUACUUUGCUGAAGACUAGGAGAGGAGUCUGAUAUCAUAAUCACAACCCUUUCUAUGUAAGAUAUCGUCCUGCUUUGCUCUGUCGGUUGAUCCUUGACAUGCUAACAUUUUGAAAAGUGCCCUUUUGGCAAUAGUUAUGGUAACAGUUUGAUUUCUAUGCGAUGAGUCACGCAUCCUCCUCUUGAGCAUGUGGGAGGUUAUGAAAGGGUGAAGUGGAAGCUGAGAAUCUGCAAUCAGUCAGCAGAGCAUUGAUCCGAGGGGUCUGGGCUUGGAAUAAAUGGUCCCAAGUACAUAUAAUAUGGUUCCAAGUGUAGGGAGGUGGUGUGGCUUUCCACUUUGGACGCUGCUGCAGGUAUUGAUGCCAUGCCCUCUCAUUAUCUUCGACUCUCGUUUAGUAUGUCGUCACACUCGUCUUUCUAUUCAUUGUUGAAUGUUGAUUCUUUUUUUCCUUGUAAAAGUAUUUUAAUUAUUUAUCUUUUGGAACGACUUAAAAAAAAAAACAUUCAGAAAGCGGCAUCGACGUGGCGAUAUGAACACGCAUGCAGAUGCAGCCAGCCACUGCAUGUCGAUUUGUGGGUCUUUGAUUGAUUAAAGAUAUCUGACGGAAUGUCAAAACUUCAACUUCCUCUUACCAUUAUGGACUUGCAGCAGAUGUUUCGGUGUUUUUUCUUUUGAUCUGUAUUUUGAUAUAAAAUGCCACCGAGGCCGAGAGACGUGUCCCUCUUCAUCA